ACAGGGAGACAGGUGGUGCAUGGUUGUCGUCAGCUCGUGUCGUGAGAUGUUGGGUUAAGUCCCGCAACGAGCGCAACCCUUACGUUUAGUUGCUAACGGGAGAGCUGAGCACUCUAGACGAACUGCCGUUGACAAAACGGAGGAAGGUGGGAUGACGUCAAAUCAUCAUGCCCCUUAUACUCUGGGCUACACACGUGCUACAAUGGUCCGUACAGAGGGCAGCGAGCCGGUGACGGCAAGCGAAUCCCUUAAAGCGGACCUCAGUUCGGAUUGCAGGCUGCAACCCGCCUGCAUGAAGUCGGAAUCGCUAGUAAUCGCAGGUCAGCAUACUGCGGUGAAUACGUUCCCGGGCCUU
rnacentral:rRNA from 1 species